CCCUUGGUGAUCCCGCCGGACCUGACUGCUAUCGGAUUGGUACUAAGCCAUGCGAGUCGUUGUAGCAAUACAAGGCGGACGGCUCAGUAACACGUAGUCAACCUAACCUAUGGACGUGGAUAACCUCGGGAAACUGAGAAUAAACCGCGAUAGAUCAUUAUGCCUGGAAUGGCUUAUGGUUCAAACAAUUUAUUGCCGUAGGAUGGGACUGCGGCCUAUCAGCUUGUUGGUGAGGUAAUGGCCCACCAAGGCUAUAACAGGUACGGGCUCUGAGAGGAGAAGCCCGGAGAUGGGUACUGAGACACGGACCCAGGCCCUAUGGGGCGCAGCAGGCGAGAAACCUUAGCAAUGUGCGAAAGCACGACUAGGUUAAUCCGAGUGAUUUCUGUUGAAGAAAUCUUUUGUCAGUCGUAAAACCACAGACGAAUAAGGGGUGGGCAAGUCUGGUGUCAGCCGCCGCGGUAAUACCAGCACCUCGAGUGGUCAGGAGGUUUAUUGGGCCUAAAGCAUCCGUAGCCGGCUACGCAAGUCUCCGGUUAAAUCCAGCUGCUCAACAGAUGGGCUGCCGGAGAUACUACAUAGCUAGGGAGCGGGAGAGGUAGACGGUAUUCUGUGGGUAGGGGUAAAAUCCACUGAUCCAUAGAGGACCACCAGUGGCGAAGGCGGUCUACCAGAACGCGUUCGACGGUGAGGGAUGAAAGCUGGGGGAGCAAACCGGAUUAGAUACCCGGGUAGUCCCAGCUGUAAACGAUGCAAACUCGGUGAUGCAUUGGCUUAUGGCCAAUGCAGUGCCGCAGGGAAGCCGUUAAGUUUGCCGCCUGGGAAGUACGGACGCAAGUCUGAAACUUAAAGGAAUUGGCGGGGGAGCA
rnacentral:rRNA from 1 species